rnacentral:rRNA from 1 species
UACAGAGGUGGCAAGCGUUGUUCGGAAUUACUGGGCGUAAAGCGCGUGUAGGCGGCUUAGCAAGUCGGGCGUGAAAGCCCUCGGCUCAACCGAGGAAGUGCACCCGAAACUGCUGAGCUUGAGUGCCGGAGAGGAUGGCGGAAUACCCCAAGUAGAGGUGAAAUUCGUAGAUAUGGGGUGGAACACCGGUGGCGAAGGCGGCCAUCUGGACGGUAACUGACGCUGAGACGCGAAAGCGUGGGUAGCAAACAGG